UCCUAGGGUCUCUCCCUCCAGUCUUCUUGGACAGAGUCCUGUGUGCCAUCUCCCGUCUCCUUUGCACGUUCUGCAGUGGAAGCAAGUCCUGUGGCCGUGCUGCUCCACACACUGUGUCCUCCCAGCACAGGCCUCUGCCUGCCUCAGGCUACAUUCCCAACCUGUUUCCCCACCAGGCACCUUUGCUGAGCCCAACAGUUACGUCUGCAGAAGGAACCGUCCGACAACGAGGCCACCCCAUGCUACAGCCUGCACCGUGCACCUCACUGGCCGCACGCCCUGCCUCCGUCUGUGUCUUCUCAAAGCCCCACCUGCCUGCAACCCCCGCCCUCUGUCUGCCUGGGCAUGCUGGAGGGCCCUCCCUGUAACAGGCUCCCCGGCCCUGCACCCUGGCUCAGCUGACCUGGCUGAGAUGGUCUCAAUGCUCACAGGGGAGAUAGGGAGACCUCAUGCUGCUUCUCCAGGCUCCCCUGACCUCUGAGUGGGGCGGAUCCGUUUCUGUCACACUGAAUGCAUUUACUGUUUCCCAUUUGGACUGAGCCAGCGGAGCACUGAGACCACGCCACACAGGGCCAGCCUGGGAGGAGAAGGGGCUCUUGUUUCUGCCGGGUCCUCAGCAGCUGCACAGUCUCCUCCUCCUGGGGCCUCCCUCCCUCCCAGGCUGCGAGCCAGUGGUUGAAGAUUUUCUCUGGAGGCAUUUUCAGAUCUGGCCUAGCACGGCCCCAGGUAUCCCGUCCUACCUGCCAGGUGGGCAGGGACCUUCCUGAGACACAGUACAAGGGAGUAGGCCUUGCCCCAGGGAGUUCUGGCUGGGGGCUCCUGUGGGACAGCUCUGGGGACCCCAACACCUGCCCUGGGGACCUCCCCUUCCCACCUCCUGAGACACUGCUGGGUCCCUCUGUCAAUCACAUUUCUAGCUCUCCCGCCUCUACCAGGCAGGCCAAUCAGAUGGUGCCACCUCCUCACCCGCCCCACCUUACAGUCAUCCCUGCAAGGGUGGGAUUGACAAGGGGGAAAUCGGCCCAGCUUGGGGUGGAGGAGACGUUGAUGAGGAUCCUGGGAGACAAGGCCACCUCUUCCCAGCCAUGGAGACUCCUGGGAUGGACCCUCCCUCCCUUGACCCCCAUAAAGGAGAGUCUUUGGGAAGGGAGAAGGAGGGCUGAAGAGGGAGGAGGGUUCCCACAAGAGUACAGCCCAAGCACUGCCGCGGCAGUGGAAGGCCCCAGCCCAGCCACACGGAGUCUCGAGGCUGAGGACAGAGAAGGCACCUGGGUGCAAGGAGGCCCUUGGGUGUAGUUUGCAGUAGGACCAGUGGGCACAAGCGCCCAGGAUGAGAGCCACAGGCUGACGGAGCCCCAUGUGAAGGGGUAGAGGUCAGGGCAGAGGGGGACCCUAGGGAAGGCUCAGGACCCGUGCCUGGAGAGGAAGACCCCACGGCACCCACUUUCUGGUUCCUGAAGCCUUCCUGGCCACCACACUGUCCCGUUCCUGACCUGCCCAGGGUGGGCACCAGGGCUGGGGCUGGCCACAGGGACCCCUAGGGUCAGACAGCAAGUCCCAGCUGGUGCCACUCUGGCCCCCACCAACUGCGUGGACAGCCCUCACCCCCGCUCAGCCUCCCUGAGAAGAAAGGGUGGGCACAAACCCUCCGCCCCCACCCAUAAAGGGCAUGAGGAGAGGGCCCGGUACCCCUGAGCCCAAGCAGCCGGCGGAGAAGGGGCUGCAGAGGCCUGGCUGCCAGUCCCUGGAGAUGACCCAAGCAGCUAACGACACUCGGAUGAAUCACUGGCCCGAGCAGGUGCUCAUUCACACUUCCCAGUUCACUGGAUGCGCCGUGGGAGCCGCUGAGACGUGGGCACAGAAGGCACAUCUCCCUGGGACCCGAGAAGGCAACAGAGCCCCCGCAUCCCCCCAGCACGAUGCAGAAGGGCUGGGCCCAUAGCAGCUACCUGUGUGGUCACUCAGCCCUGAGCUCAGAAGUGCCGGGGCUCAGAGGACACCCUGCUGUUGCCACCGGGCACCCUUCACCAUCUCUGAACAAGGCCUGGGAUUUCUCUGUGACCUAGGCCCCCACAGGGUACAGUGGUCCUGACCCUACAUCCAUGUACAGGGAAUGCUGACCGCGGCAGCUCCGUGUUCACAGCCCUGGACACACAGAAAUGACUGUGAUGUGGCCCUGACCUCAGUAGUGUAGAAGGAACCCACUGAAGGAGACCGAGGUGGGGAACCUACAGGGCCUAAUGGAAACCCCAGCUGGGUGGGUGGCGGCCAUGCAGCUGGGAGUGAGUGUGAGGGUGCCUGGGGAUGGAGACGGUGCCGGGGAUGGAGACAGACACGGUCUCCAUGAGAAAGCUGGGCUUAAUCCUGACAGAGGGAGGCGGCCUGGAGGCCAUACAGGGAAGAGGGGCUCAGGAGGUUUGGAAACAGGAUUUCAGGACUGCCUGCGCUGCAGGUGGGUGCUGGCCACUGGUCUAGCCUGAUCUGGCACCCUGGUGGUGCAUGCCAUUGGAGGGGCUCCCUGUAUCUGUACUGUGGGGCCUUCCUGUCACAGGGUGGGCUCACAGGUCCUGCCCAUCCCUGCAUGGGAUGUGGGUGAGCUUUGCUCUGAGGAGGCCGACGUGAGCCUCCUGAUCAGCCGGACACAAAGUGGGCAGAGGGGCACCGAGCCCCCGGAGGCUCUGGGAGUGGGAAACCACCGAUCUGUAUGAGCUCAGGUGCCUCCUGGGACAGCCUGGAGGACAGUGGCUGUGAGGGGCUGUCACUGCAGCUCAUGGUAGGCAGCCCACCUUCCCAUUCAGAAAGGCUUUCCAGAAGGGGACGGCUGUGGAUGAACAGGCAGCGUCCUCCUGUCCUGUUUCCAUGCCUCUGACCACCCUCUACCUCUUCCCCUCGUCCCCUAAGCAGGCGUCCCUGUGAAGCGGCUACACAACCAGAGCGGGGCUCUAGGGGAGGGUCCUGGCACCUCUUCCAGCACCCAGUGGCUCCCGGUUUCCCUGGUUUGUGGCCUCUCUGCUCCCGUCUCUGCCUCUGUCUUCAUGCGGCCUCCCUACUGUGUCUGUCUCUGUCUCAUUCUCCUUUCUUUUAUGAAAACACAGCCAUUGGAUUUAGGGUCCACCUUAAAUCUAGAUGAUCACGCCUCCAGAUCCUUAACUUAAUUACAUCUGCAGAAACCAAAUAAGGUCACAUUGUUAGGUACCAGAGAUUAGGGUGUGGCUGUGCCAUUUGCGGGGGAUCACUCCAUAACCCACCAUGCAGCCCUAAGCUGUGUGACCGGCAGCAAGUCCCUGUCCUUCUUGGGGCCUCUGAUCCCUCGCAUGUGAGCAUGAGCCCCCCUCAGAGGGACACAUAAGGGAUCAAGUGAGUCCCACGUUCAGUGUGGUGCCUGUCAUGUUGUCUAGGGGUCUCUGGGUUCUGCGAACCAGGAGGCAGAAUUAGGAGCAAGAAUUAGGACCAGAUGGAUGGGAGCUGACACUGUCCCAGUGUGACCAGGGAAACAGAUCUCUCCAGGACCUCGACAGCAUGCCCUGGGCAGAGGCCGGUUGUCAUCACCCCGUAGGGCUCAGGCCUUCCCUGGCUUCCCAGAGGGAGGCAGGAUGAGAUCAGUUCCAAGGGUCCUUCCAGAUCUCGCAGAAAGUGCCCUCGCUUUAUUGCACCUCCAUUCAAGCUGAAAGAGAUGGCCAACCAAAUUAGCCCAGGAUUGAACAGAAAUUGAUUUUAAUUUAAAGCCCUUUGAGUGCUUUCUCCUCUCAGAUGAAAGAAGAGUAGGCUGAGAUGUGUCUCCUGUUGCCCCAUAACUGUAUCUGAGCCAACUUUCAGCCCCACACUGUCUGCUCCAGAUGAGGCAGCUUUUCUCAUUGUCUCUGGGUGGUGACUGAGCUUUACCUCCAAACUGCAAAGGAAUCUCAUUCUUUUAUUCCAGUCUGGUGCCAUCGCACACACUCUGACACAUAUUCCCCUGCACUAAGAGAUGAAGGUUGAACUGAGCCUUCCAGAACAGUGCAACGCAAGGGGCUGAAACAGGGGCCUGGGUCCACCAUUCCCUAAUCCAGGAGGAGCGACAUCUGAGAGUCCCCAGCUCAGACACUUCCCUCCAGGGGAGCGGCCAUCCCUGUGUGUGAUGGACGGCGCAAUCCCAAAUGCACUGGCUGGGAGAUUCUGGAGUCGGGAGCUCAGUGGCACCACCUUCGGAAGUUCAAGUUGAACACCUAGGAGACUUAGAGUUGGCACCGUGUUGGUGCCAUGUGCUUAGCGUAUGGCGCUGUGUGCUUAGGAGAGAGCCUGGGUCAUGAGGAUCCCCAUGCCCCAGGGGCCCCUCUUUGGCCCUUAGCCCCAAAUCCCAUUAACCAGGCAGGUGAGGCCAGGGACAUGUCUGUCCCUUCUGAGGCCCAAGCCCACUUGGUGUUCCUCAUGGUGCGGCAUGCAGGCAGAUUGACCAAGAUGGCUAUUGAGGCUGGAGUCCCAAGCCCCUCACCCACGCAGGCUGGCCAAGAACCUGGAAGGAACCUCAGGCCCCACAAAACGUGAAACCAUGGCUGCCCAUCCUUCUUCCCCUAGUCCUUGAAAUCCAUCCCCUCCAUCCAUCCAGCCUGUGAAUUUACCCCCAGGCCAAGGAGCAUAGCUGCAGAGCAAGGGUCCCUCCUGCAGGGUCAGGCUCUGGAAGGUGACCAGAAACCCCAGAAACCCCACCCCUGCCUCCCCUCCCUAGCCAUGACCGUAACUCCCACUGCACUGAGAAAAUCAAGGGCCAGAAGCCCCUGCACCACCUCCCCCACUGCAGUAAAAGAGGGGUUCGCCCUUGCCCCCAUCGCCCACCAGCACCCCCUUCACCCUGGUCACAGCCUUGCACCAUGGGGCACCGCCUGCAUCUCACCCCAGCCCUGCCCAGUUCCUCUGCCCUUGGCAUUUUAGCUGCUCCAAGUGCCUCCUUUCUCAGAACCGUCCCCAGACCCUGCAUCCCGCUAGCGAUCUUCACCCUCUCCCGCUCCUGGUGGUCAAAUCUUUAAAAGACCGCCUGUGUUUGCCAUGCCUUCCUUCUGCCCUCUCAGUGACCAGGUCUCCAGGAGGGUCUUUCCUGAGCAGGUGCACGACACGCCUCUGAGGCCCCCCUGCAGCUCAUGCUGCCUUUAUCCUUGUGUCAGAAGCUCUUUUCUCUGCUCCCAGACUGAUUUUGGAAGGCUGACUUUUAGAAAUGAUGAUGCUAUUUGAUCCAAGGGUUUCAACAGAUCAUCUUAAGCCUGGAGCCUAGAAUAAUAAAACUCUAGACUUGAGGGACCUGCAGAAAUCAUGUGGCCCCAAAUGCUGAUGACACUGUGCAAAGUGUCAUGAGGGCAUGAAGGUGGUUUUCAUUAUGAAAGCUCAAACCGGUGCCCAGAAAGGGGAAGCAACUUACCCAAAGACGCACAUUGGCUUAGCUGAGCUGGGACUGGGCACCACAGUCCUGAUCCCUGGCUCCACCCUGUCCUGAGAUCGCUCUUGUGUCACCAAAUUUCUGCCUCUUUCCGCGACAGCGCUCCACUUUCUCGUCCUUACAGCUUCCGUAGAAGCAAGACGAGCAGUUUUCGUUGCUGAAUUUUGAACAUAAUAAAAAGAAAAGUGCUUUCAAGGACAUUGAGUCUCUUCAGUUGGUGACUCCCGCAGCCUGUGAUGAAAGCGCCUUGCUUUCUGCCCAGGGAGGUGCCUGUGCAUACCUGGAAUUGUACACAUUCCUUUGGAUCAUGUGUCUGAGCAA
rnacentral:lncRNA from 10 species